rnacentral:rRNA from 1 species
UACGUAGGGUGCAAGCGUUGUCCGGAAUUAUUGGGCGUAAAGAGCUCGUAGGCGGUUUGUCGCGUCUGCUGUGAAAACUCGGGGCUUAACCCCGGGCCUGCAGUGGGUACGGGCAAGCUAGAAUUCGGUAGGGGAGACUGGAAUUCCUGGUGUAGCGGUGAAAUGCGCAGAUAUCAGGAGGAACACCGGUGGCGAAGGCGGGUCUCUGGGCCGAAAUUGACGCUGAGGAGCGAAGGCGUGGGGAGCAAACAGG